AACGAACGCUGGCGGCAGGCCUAACACAUGCAAGUCGAGCGCCCUUUCGGGGGAGCGGCGGACGGGUGAGUACCGCGUGGGAAUAUGCCCUUCUCUACGGAAUAGCCUCGGGAAACUGAGAGUAAUACCGUAUACGCCCUGUGGGGGAAAGAUUUAUCGGGGAAGGAUUAGCCCGCGUUGGAUUAGGUAGUUGGUGGGGUAAUGGCCUACCAAGCCGACGAUCCAUAGCUGGUUUGAGAGGAUGAUCAGCCACACUGGGACUGAGACACGGCCCAGACUCCUACGGGAGGCAGGAGUGGGGAAUCUUAGACAAUGGGGGCAACCCUGAUCUAGCCAUGCCGCGUGAGUGAUGAAGGCCUUAGGGUUGUAAAGCUCUUUCAGCUGGGAAGAUAAUGACGGUACCAGCAGAAGAAGCCCCGGCUAACUCCGUG
rnacentral:rRNA from 1 species